rnacentral:rRNA from 1 species
UUCGAGUGGCGACGGGUGAGUAACGCGUGGGUAACCUGCCUUACACAGGGGGAUAACACCUGGAAACAGGUGCUAAUACCGCAUAAGCGCACAGGGCCGCAUGGCCCGGUGUGAAAAACUCCGGUGGUGUAAGAUGGACCCGCGUCUGAUUAGCUUGUUGGCGGGGUAGGGGCCCACCAAGGCGACGAUCAGUAGCCGGCCUGAGAGGGUGGACGGCCACAUUGGGACUGAGACACGGCCCAAACUCCUACGGGAGGCAGCAG